UCCAGACUCCUACGGGAGGCAGCAGUGGGGGAUAUUGCACAAUGGGGGAAACCCUGAUGCAGCAACGCCGCGUGAGUGAAGAAGUAUUUCGGUAUGUAAAGCUCUAUCAGCAGGGAAGAAAAUGACAGUACCUGACUAAGAAGCACCGGCUAACUCCGUGCCAGCAGCCGCGGUAAUACGGAGGAUGCGAGCGUUAUCCGGAUUUAUUGGGUUUAAAGGGUGCGCAGGCGGAGGCACAAGUCAGCGGUAAAACCGGGGGGCUCACCCCCGCUCCGCCGUUGAAACUGUGUCCCUUGAGUGCGCGAAGGGUAGGCGGAAUGCGUGGUGUAGCGGUGAAAUGCAUAGAUAUCACGCAGAACUCCGAUCGCGAAGGCAGCCUACCGGCGCGCAACUGACGCUCAGGCACGAAAGCGUGGGUAUCGAACAGGAUUAGAUACCCCAGUAC
rnacentral:rRNA from 1 species